GCAAAAAAAAAAAAAAAUCAGAAACGUGUUCCUAUUUGAGUUCAUUCUCAUUUAACACAGUAAACAUGAAUGAGCUAGAAAUGAGAAAGUUGACAGAUAAGUUGAACUUUAAUACCAACUAUAGAAAUAGUUAUCCACAUUGUACAAGAAACAUAGUGAUCCACUAUAACAUCCAUAAUAAUGAAAAGAGUGAAAGUGAAAUUUUGUUUUCUCUUUGAGCAUGCA
rnacentral:misc_RNA from 1 species